rnacentral:rRNA from 1 species
ACUCCUACGGGAGGCAGCAGUGGGGAAUAUUGCACAAUGGGGGAAACCCUGAUGCAGCCAUGCCGCGUGUGUGAAGAAGGCCUUCGGGUUGUAAAGUACUUUCAGCAGUGAGGAAGGUGGAGUCGUUAAUAGCACUUAGCUGUGACGUUACUCGCAGAAGAAGCACCGGCUAACUCCGUGCCAGCAGCCGCGGUAAUACGGAGGGUGCAAGCGUUAAUCGGAUUAUCUGGGCGUAAAGCGCGCGUAGGUUGUUUGUUAAGCGAGAUGUGAAAGCCCCGGGCUCAAGCCUGGAACGGCAUUUCGAACUGGCAAGCUAGAGUACAGUAGAGGGUGGCGGAAUUUCCUGUGUAGCGGUGAAAUGCGUAGAGAUGGGAAGGAACAUCAGUGGCGAAGGCGGCCACCUGGACUGAUACUGACACUGAGGUGCG